GGCUCCAUAGUGUCGUGGUUAGCACGUCUGCUUUACACGCAGAAGGUCCGGGGUGCACACCCCAGGUGGAGCCA
rfam:Pteropus alecto contig54674, whole genome shotgun sequence.